UCAGGGUCCCACCGGUCCGCAUGGAAACCCUGGUGUACCUGGCCCUCCCGGACUGAAGGGCUCAAAGGGCGACCCGGGACUGUCUCCAGGCCAGGCUCCGGCAGGAGAGAAGGGCGAGCGAGGCCCACCCGGCCUGCCUGGUCCAGGCGGUUUCCCAGGUCCAACGGGUCCGAAGGGCUAAUCCAGGACCAGCGGGUCUACCAGGAGAACAAGGUGUGCCAGGACUGCCAGGAGUGGCUGGGGCUGCAGGUUACCCUGGCAGGCAGGGUUUGGCUGGGCCAGAAGGUAACCCAGGGCCUAAAGGUGUACGUGGCUUCAUCGGACCUCCUGGGAUUGCUGGACCACCAGGGCUGGAGGGCGAGAGAGGCAUUCCCGGUCCGGUCGGGAAAACAGG